UACGGAGGGGGCUAGCGUUGUUCGGAAUUACUGGGCGUAAAGCGCACGUAGGCGGACCUGAAAGUCAGAGGUGAAAUCCCAGGGCUCAACCUUGGAACUGCCUUUGAAACUCCGGGUCUUGAGGUCGAGAGAGGUAAGUGGAAUUCCGAGUGUAGAGGUGAAAUUCGUAGAUAUUCGGAGGAACACCAGUGGCGAAGGCGGCUUACUGGCUCGGUACUGACGCUGAGGUGCGAAAGCAUGGGGAGCAAAAGGG
rnacentral:rRNA from 1 species